AUUUCCUACGGGAGGCAGCAGUGGGGAAUAUUGCACAAUGGGGGAAACCCUGAUGCAGCAACGCCGCGUGAGUGAAGAAGGUUUUCGGAUUGUAAAGCUCUGUUAGCAGGGAAGAGGAAGGACGGUACCUGCAGAAGAAGCCCCGGCUAACUACGUGCCAGCAGCCGCGGUAAUACGUAGGGGGCAAGCGUUAUCCGGAUUUACUGGGUGUAAAGGGAGCGUAGGCGGCUGUGUAAGCCAGAAGUGAAAGCCCGAGGCUCAACCACGGGACUGCUUUUGGAACUACAUGGCUUGAUUGCAGGAGA
rnacentral:rRNA from 1 species